UACGAAGGGGGCUAGCGUUGCUCGGAACCACUGGGCGUAAAGCGCACGUAGGCGGAUUGUUAAGUCAGGGGUGAAAUCCUGGAGCUCAACUCCAGAACUGCCUUUGAUACUGAAGAUCUUGAGUUCGGGAGAGGUGAGUGGAACUGCGAGUGUAGAGGUGAAAUUCGUAGAUAUUCGCAAGAACACCAGUGGCGAAGGCGGCUCACUGGCCCGAUACUGACGCUGAGGCACGAAAGCGUGGGGAGCAAACAGG
rnacentral:rRNA from 1 species